rnacentral:rRNA from 1 species
GACGAACGCUGGCGGCGUGCUUAACACAUGCAAGUCGAACGAGACGAUUGAAAGCUUGCUUUCGAAAGUCGAGUGGCAAACGGGUGAGUAACGCGUAGACAACCUGCCUUUGAGAUGGGGACAACAGUUCGAAAGGACUGCUAAUACCGAAUGUUGUAUAUUUUCCACAUGGAAGAUAUAUUAAAGAUGGCCUCUAUUUAUAAGCUAUCGCUCAAAGAUGGGUCUGCGUCUGAUUAGCUAGUUGGUGGGGUAACGGCCUACCAAGGCGACGAUCAGGAGCCGGUCUGAGAGGGUGAACGGCCACAUUGGGACUGAGACACGGCCAGACUCCUACGGGAGGCAGCAGUGGGGAAUCUUCCACAAUGGACGAAAGUCUGAUGGAGCAACGCCGCGUGAGUGAAGAAGGGUUUCGGCUCGUAAAGCUCUGUUGUCGGGGACGAAUGUGCAGUAUUUGAAUAAAGUACUGCAAUGACGGUACCUGACGAGGAAGCCACGGCUAACUACGUGCCAGCAGCCGCCGUAA